AUUGAACGCUGGCGGCAGGCCUAACACAUACAAGUCGAACGGUAACAGGAAGCAGCUUGCUGCUUUGCUGACGAGUGGCGGACGGGUGAGUAAUGUCUGGGAAACUGCCUGAUGGAGGGGGAUAACUACUGGAAACGGUAGCUAAUACCGCAUAACGUCGCAAGACCAAAGAGGGGGACCUUAGGGCCUCUUGCCAUCGGAUGUGCCCAGAUGGGAUUAGCUAGUAGGUGGGGUAACGGCUCACCUAGGCGACGAUCCCUAGCUGGUCUGAGAGGAUGACCAGCCACACUGGAACUGAGACACGGUCCAGACUCCUACGGGAGGCAGCAGUGGGGAAUAUUGCACAAUGGGCGCAAGCCUGAUGCAGCCAUGCCGCGUGUAUGAAGAAGGCCUUCGGGUUGUAAAGUACUUUCAGCGGGGAGGAAGGGAGUAAAGUUAAUACCUUUGCUCAUUGACGUUACCCGCAGAAGAAGCACCGGCUAACUCCGUG
rnacentral:rRNA from 1 species